AUGAAUGCUCAAAGUCCCUUCCAGACUGUGACAGGGUAUACCAAGCUCAGAGGCCUGCUGCUGGAGGCCUCGUGUCCUACCACACCAUGCCCCAGGAAAAGAGCAGUAGAAGUGAGUCUUCCAACCUGUGCAGAACAGCUGUGGGGAAGUAGCCAAUUGGAGAGAGAUUGCAGAGAUCAGCCAAUCAGAGUACAGCAAGUUCAUAUAAAAGGAGCUGUUGGACAGAGCACAUUCAGUUGUUGGCUGGAGCAAGAGGAACAAAAUUGGUACUCCUGGCUGGAUGCAGGGAUUCAAGAAAGACUUUGGCCCUGAGCAGGUCCAAAUCUGGACUGGUUCACAGCCACGUCCUCUCCAGUCUGUACCCCAAGUACUGCAGCUCUCAGAUCACCAUUAAACCUCCAGGGACAGGAAACAGCCAAUGGAGGAUGACAGCUACUAAUGUGUGUUGGGACACACUGGAAAUGGACCCAGGCUCAGCUAUCUUUGAUUCCAUGGCUACCUCAGGCAUUGCCAGCAUGAUGAAAAUAUCUCUGCACCUCUUCCUUCUCCAUGAGUUGCAUCUGUUUAUACCAAUAGUGAAUUUGGCUCUAGUACUUAACCGUAAUAUGAUUAAAGUAAUUAAAUACCCAGAAAACACAUUGUAUCACUGGAAUUAAGAUUACAACUAUGUAUUAAUACAAGACAUGACAAGAACUUUGUAAUUAUCAAAAAAUAAACAUUGGAAACCAG